AGGCUUAUGAUGAUAUUUCCAAUAAUCUUAGCGGAUUUCAGUGAGAUUUUACUAUCAAUGAUCUGACUGUUACACACACUGAAAGCCU